GGGAGGUCGACCAUGGAAGCCAUUUUCUUGGUACGACAACUUAUGGAGAGAUAUAGGGAGCAUAAGAAGGACUUGCAUAUGGUGUUCAUUGACUUGGAGAAGGCCUAUGAUAAGAUACCGCGGAAUGUCAUGUGGUGGGCCUUGGAGAAACACAAAGUCCCAGCAAAGUACAUUACCCUCAUCAAGGACAUGUACAAUAAUGUUGUGACAAGUGUUCGAACAAGUGAUGUCGACACCGAUGACUUCCCGAUUAAGAUAGGACUGCAUCAGGGGUCAGCUUUGAGCCCUUAUCUUUUUGCAUUGGUGAUGGUUGAGGUCACAAGGGGUACACAAGGAGAUAUCCCAUGGUGUAUGCUCUUUGCGGAUGAUGUGGUGCUAGUUGACGAUAGUCGGACGAGGUUAAAUAGGAAGUUAGAGUUAUGGAGACAAACCUUGGAAUCGAAAGGGUUUAGGCUUAGUAGAACUAAAACCGAGUACAUGAUGUGCGGUUUCAGUACUACUAGCUGUGAGGAGGAGGAGGUUAGCCUUGAUGGCCAGGUGGUACCUCGGAAGGACACCUUUCGGUAUUUGGGGUCAAUGUUGCAGGAGGAUGGGGGUAUUGAUGAAGAUGUGAACCAUCGAAUCAAAGCCGGAUGGAUGAAGUGGUGCCAAGCUUCUGGCAUUCUCUGUGACAAGAGAGUGCCACAAAAGCUAAAAGGCAAGUUCUACAGGACGGCGGUUCGACCCGCAAUGUUGUAUGGCGCGGAGUGUUGGCCGACUAAAAGGCGACAUGUU
rnacentral:rRNA from 1 species